GAGAUGCCGUUUACACGCACGCACGCACACACCCCUGCCGUACGGACGCCAGGGGCCCUCAGCUAUGGCCUGAACUCGUCCCAAAGCACGUCGAUCAUAAAACCAGAUCGUCUCGGGCCGCCGAAUAAGCUUGCUAGCCCGUCCUAGGGCUCAACGAACGCCUCCCGGUACUCUGCGUUUUAUUUUCAGCUUCUUUAAUUUAUUCAACAAGUUUUAACAAAGCUUCUGAUGGUCUUCAAUUAAUGAACCACUGUACGGGUAAGCUGUAACUCCGACGCAGCUGCAAGUGCGCGCGAUGAAGUGCGCGCGAUUCUGCAUUCAACAGGGUUCAAUCUGUAACGCUAAGCUGCGAGAAAAAUAAGCUGGUCAUUCAGCGAGAAUAUUAAUAAUAUGGAUGGCGCUAUUCACGUGUCCAUCUGGCCAAUGUGAAACCAACGGCUGUUAAGGCAAUCCGCACCAGACCGGUCGCCUCCUGAGCAUCUGUGCUUAUGGAAUGAUCUGGCACAUGCAGCACGUUAAUUGUCUGGCGAGAGAUAGCUUGAAAGUGUCCGUUUAGUAAUGGAGAGGGAACUUAGUAACGUAAUGAAAUUACAGUACCGGUAUGUACUGUGAGUAACCUAGGGCGCAAGGACGACUUUGGUAACCCAUGGCGCUUGUCAUGAACCACCUAAACGUGGAAUUGAUAGGAUGCAAGCACGUUUUUCAUGGCUUGGGUCCCUCACCCCUGCUUCGAACAUCCUCGACUUGACAUGGACCACCUGUUGAACGAGCCAAACAGAAACUGGCGUUUUCAGCUACAAAUGCAGAGGGCAAAACUAUCAGAUGAAAUUGGGCCGAAUAUUUUCGCAUCCCGACUGGCCACACAGGGCCACACAAUGUCCCGAAAGAACAAGGCCCAGCUUAUGCACAAUGUACUUGGCGGGCUUUAAAUGGCAGGCGUUAAUGGCCCUGAGAGCUG
rnacentral:lncRNA from 1 species